UACGUAGGGUGCGAGCGUUGUCCGGAAUUAUUGGGCGUAAGGGGCUCGUAGGCGGUUUGUCGCGUCGGGGAGUGAAAACACUGGGCUUAACCGAGUGCUUGCUUUCGAUACGGGCAGACUUGAGGCAUUGGAGGGGAGAACGGAAUUCCUGGUGUAGCGGUGAAAUGCGCAGAUAUCAGGAGGAACACCGGUGGCGAAGGCGGUUCUCUGGCAAUGUUCUGACGGCUGAGGAGCGGAAAGUGGUGGGGAGACGAAGAUGGAU
rnacentral:rRNA from 1 species